rnacentral:rRNA from 1 species
CCUACGGGUGGCAGCAGUGGGGGAUAUUGGACAAUGGGGGGAACCCUGAUCCAGCGACGCCGCGUGAGUGAAGAAGUAUUUCGGUAUGUAAAGCUCUAUCAGCAGGGAAGAAAGAAAUGACGGUACCUGACUAAGAAGCCCCGGCUAACUACGUGCCAGCAGCCGCGGUAAUACGUAGGGGGCAAGCGUUAUCCGGAUUUACUGGGUGUAAAGGGAGCGUAGACGGCGAUGCAAGUCUGAAGUGAAAGGCGGGGGCCCAACCCCUGGACUGCUUUGGAAACUGUAUGGCUGGAGUGCAGGAGGGGCAGGCGGAAUUCCUAGUGUAGCGGUGAAAUGCGUAGAUAUUAGGAGGAACACCGGUGGCGAAGGCGGCCUGCUGGACUGUGACUGACGUUGAGGCCCGAAGGCGUGGGGAGCAAACAGGAUUAGAUACCCUAGUAGUC